UGGGCUCGAAAUGUAGUGGACCGGGGUGGAAACAUCCCUUUCCCGCAAGGGACUGCUAUAUAGGUGCUGCAUGGCUGUCGUCAGCUCGUGUCGUGAGAUGUUGGGUUAAGUCCCGCAACGAGCGCAACCCUUAUCGUUAGUUGCCAGCGAGUCAAGUCGGGCACUCUAGCGAAACCGCGCGGGAUAACCGCGAGGAAGGUGGGGAUGACGUGUCGUUACCUUA
rnacentral:misc_RNA from 1 species